rnacentral:lncRNA from 1 species
ACGUGAGCCCACAUCUAUCCAAAAUGCAUCGGAAGUUGGAAACCUACAGCUUUUACCAAUUCGAGUCCAAAUGAAGGUCCUUGUCAAAGUCAGCUAACUAUGGAAUUCCCCGAGCCUGAAAUGUGAGGAAAUGAGGGUGGUGAGAUUAUAAAAUCCCAAUGAGUAAACAUAUACCAUCUAAACUAUCUUAAGUCAAGUAAAUGGAGACAAUUAAAAUAAAUCAUCAUACUGUAAUUUCAUUACCUUUCAACUCAUUUCAACCAAAUAAAAUCAAUCCAUAAAAAUCGAGUAAUCAACUUGGCUUAUGAAUUUCUUAAAACUUUGGCUCGUGCCAAAACUCAUACUCGGUGAUACCUUGCGCAGGGCAUCCAACCGAGUCUGCCAAGGCUGUUAAAAUUUUGUAUACACUUAAAAUAUAUUUUUAGUUUGAGAAAAAUACAGCCGUUCCUUGGCGUUGGCUGAGUUCCCCUUCACGUGGUGGUUUGGCGUGAAGUGAACCCUAAGCUUUACCCCAGGAGAUACCCUACGCGCCUCUCCGUUCGAGGUAAUAAUAUAAUGGAGUUUACCGUGCCCCUCUAAUAGGCUGGUCCACGGAACCCCCUCUGCAGUAAAUAAUUAAUAUAUAAUCCACCAAUCAAUAAAAUUCAUUCUAGCAUGACAUGGCAAUUUAUCGCAACCUAGCCUCUCAAGGCUGAAUACACAGUAUAAAUAAUUCUAACACCAAAAUCAGUUUAGCCAUUCAUGCUCAUUUAUUAUCAUAAGCCAUUCAAUUCAAAACCAUAAAUUUGCAACACAAACUAGCAGUCUCCAAUUACUCUAUUUUCAAAACCAAUAUUCGAUUUUUCAGAAAAUUUAUAAAAUCAUUUUAUAAAAUCACAAUUUCUCUUAAAACAUAGCAAUUUACCAUUUAAACCCAUUUUUCAUAAAAUCACACAAUUGUAUAAAACUACUCUAGAUAAUUAAGACGAUAAUAAGUUCACUCACAGUUCUAGGAGUCGAUGUACUCCUAAUCCCAGUCUCCAAGCACAAUUUCUGUACUUUUACCAGUGUACUUUGCUCACCACCU